rnacentral:hammerhead_ribozyme from 1 species
AUCUAGCUGACGAGUCCCGAAUAGGACGAAACGCGUGUCCUGGAU